rnacentral:rRNA from 1 species
GUGGGGAAUCUUGCGCAAUGGGCGAAAGCCUGACGCAGCCAUGCCGCGUGGAUGAUGAAGGUCUUAGGAUUGUAAAAUCCUUUCACCGGUGAAGAUAAUGACUGUAGCCGGAGAAGAAGCCCCGGCUAACUUCGUGCCAGCAGCCGCGGUAAUACGAAGGGGGCUAGCGUUGCUCGGAUUUACUGGGCGUAAAGGGCGCGUAGGCGGACAUUUAAGUCAGGGGUGAAAUCCAGGGGCUCAACCUCGGAUCUGCCUUUGAUACUGGGUGUCUUGAGUAUGAGAGAGGUGUGUGGAACUCCGAGUGUAGAGGUGAAAUUCGUAGAUAUUCGGAAGAACACCAGUGGCGAAGGCGACACACUGGCUCAUUACUGACGCUGAGGCGCGAAAGCGUGGGGAGCAAACAGGAUUAGAAACCCUGGUAGUCC